rnacentral:lncRNA from 1 species
AAAAAGCCGUCUCCAUGGAAGCGGCCCUUCCGCUCGGAGCCCGGCGGCCUGGAGGGAGACCCGGCGGGGAUGCGAGGAUUCCGCCCCAGCCCCAGAGGACGCGGCGGAGAGCCUGGAGGAGGCGCUUUGAGAGUCGAGGUCUCCCGCCCGCGCGCCUCCCUGGCGCAGACCUCUUUUAACUUUUUGGCGUGGAGUGCGCGUCCUGACGUGCCCCCUGAGCUACAGCUUACUGAGCUUUACUGGCUUCGCCGGACAGCCGUCCCCAGGUGGAGAGACAGCGCGUCGCGCGCUGCCCGGGCCCCGCAGGGCCUGGCGCCUGGGGCCCUUGCGCCGCUUUGGGGCGAGGGGAUCACACCGCGGGCUCCCGGAGCUUAGCGUCUUCCACGCGGCGCUGUGUGUCAUCCACGCAGUGUGCUCUCGCUGCCGUGUUCAGGUCACUGCGAGGGUGAGCCCCGCUUUAUCUACCCCUUCUGCUGUUGAUGGGCACUCGUCUGGGGCUAGAAGGGAUAAGGUUGCUGUGAGCGUUCUCGUGUGUUUUUGGUGCACGCGCACACACAUUUCUCUGGGGUGCAGACCUGUCUAGUAGUGGAACUGCCGUUUCCCAGCACUUUGGAGCAAAGCCCUGUUGCAGUCUGAAGCGGAAAAGGCAGACGGGCCUUCCAUGUUCGUGAUUCCAGCCAGGCACAGAAGGGAAGGACAGGGACAGCAGCCGCGCGGAGGCGAGGAGGGACACUGGGCGCUGCUGUCCCCUCUCAGGGGCAGCCACUCCUCUUGUGGACGCAGGUGUGGUCACCAGAAGGGAAGGACAGCAGAGGACUCUUCAGGGACCUUCCUGGAUCCCCCUGCAAUGGGAGUGGCCUACUUGCUUGACUUGAGGGUGAGACUUGGUCAGCCCUUGACUGUAGGGGGCAGGACCAUGGGCUUCAGUGGGGCAGCACCCAUGACCCACGCCUCUGCUUCCAUUCCCUGCUUACUGCCCGGGCCUCUGGGCAGGGGAGUCUAGUCUCCCUUCCCAGGCUUCCAAUGCCUCGCCCCCUGCUGUGGUAAGGAUUCGCGCUGGUCCCUAUUUAUUAAUCAGGGAACUUGGGGUUCCAGUUUUCUCCCCUUCUCUGCAUCUCAUCCCCUUGAGAGCCCCCUGGAGCAGAGGAUAACGCACGAGGGGACUGGCUGUGUAUAUUUUGAUAACAAUAUCAAAAUACUGUCAAAUACUAAACGGAAAAGAAAUAGGAAAACAUUGAACUUUAUUAAAAUGAACUUCAAAAGACACCAUUAAGAGUAAAAAGAUGACUCACAAAAAAGUUGCCUUUUGUUCAGUAAACGACUCAGGACCAGAAAAUAUGAAGACCCCUACAACAAGAAAAAUAUAGAUAGCUCAGUUAAAAAUUGACAAAAGACUUGAAAAGAUAUUUCACAAAAGGAGAGAUCCAGACAGUCAAUCCACACACGAAAGGGUACUUAGCAUCAGGGAACUGCAAAUAGUGACAUUCGAUUCCAUAUCACAGCCACUGGAUGGCUAAAAUAGCAACGCCAAGUGCUGAUGAGACUGUGGAACAACCAGCUGGGCUCUCAUACCCUGCUGAUGGGAGAGUGGAUUGGAGCAACCACGUGGAAACAUCUAAUGGAGGUUUCAGAGCUGUGGUAGAAACUUCUAGUACUGACAACAGCCAGUACCUCCCCGCUUGGCAGCUGAGACUAUGGGACCAGUUCUGGCCAAUGGAAUGUGAGGGGAAAUGACGGAUGUCAAUUCCAGGCUGAAGCUUUUAGUUGCCAGAGCCAGGUCCUCCAGUCCUACCUUUCCACUGUGGCAGUCCCUCUGAAGUCCCAAGAUCAAGAGCUGACAGCUGAAUCCUUGCAUGGAGAGUCGCCUGGACCUGCAGUGGACUCUGGAUGAGGGAGUAUACACCGCUCUCCUGAGAUGGCAAACAGGAGGUCUGGAUCAAUCCUACAGUGUCGGCAAAUGUCUGGAUUACCCUGCAAGGUAAAGAAAGCCUGCACAUAUGGGGCCUCAGACCAUCUGUCCUCAUAUCUACAGAAAAGAUCCAGCUGCUGGAUGGUAUUGAAAUGAAUUGUUCCUUCCUGAAGC